GCUGGGUGUGGUGGCAUGUGCCUGUAGUCCCAGCUACUUGGGAGGCUGAGGCAGGAGGAUCACUUGAGCCCAGGAGUUCGAGGCUGUGGUGAGCUAUGAUCAUGCCACUGCACUCCAGCCUGGGUAACACAGCGAGAUCCUGUCUCAA
rnacentral:SRP_RNA from 1 species